rnacentral:misc_RNA from 1 species
AACAAGCCAAAAAAAUCGGUGGCAACCGCAAUAGUUCGAGAAGACUAUAUUUGCACGCAAGGUGAUCUUGCUCUCAUCGAUUUUAUCAAGGAAAUCCCUUGUGAACCAAGGGUAGAAGUCGUUCUUAUUGAUGAUGCCUUUGUUGAAAGGAAGUGGAUGGAGUGUUUAUUUCAGCCGAGCGCAUAUUUAGGUGACGAGGUUAUAGACUGUUACAUAAAUUUGAUAAAAGCUCAAAAGCAUCUAAAGUGCCGAUCUGGAGGUCGCGUUCACAUAGAAAAUGCUUUCCAGUUCAAUUUCCUGAAGCAAGAUGGUGAUCUUGAAAUUAAAACAGAGGAGCUAUAUCCAAUUAAAGACAUGGCACACAUAUGUAGCGCUGAACGAAGGGUGUUACUUUACCUAGACCAUGACAUGGUGUUUAUUCCGAUAAACAUCCGAGAGACGCACUGGUAUCUUGCUGUGAUCCAUGCAAGAAAUAUGGAGAUACAAGUGCUCGAUUCACUUGGUACUUCACAAGACCGCAAAGACCUCACUGACUCUAUUAAAGGACUGCAAAUACAAAUAGAUAUGAUAUCUCAACGUAAGGAGUUAAAAGACCACAGGUGGCCAGACCUCCAAGUUGCUUCUUGGCCGCUCAGAGAAAUAAACAUGGGAUAUGCAAAGCAGACAGAUAGCUCUUCAUGUGGCCUCUUUCUUUUGAACUAUAUCGAAUACUGGACAGG